rnacentral:rRNA from 1 species
ACGGAACUUCUUUAUCACCGAGUGCUUGCACUCACCGAUAAAGAGUUGAGUGGCGAACGGGUGAGUAACACGUGGGCAACCUGCCCAAAAGAGGGGGAUAACACUUGGAAACAGGUGCUAAUACCGCAUAACCAUAGUUACCGCAUGGUAACUAUGUAAAAGGUGGCUAUGCUACCGCUUUUGGAUGGGCCCGCGGCGCAUUAGCUAGUUGGUGGGGUAAAGGCUUACCAAGGCAAUGAUGCGUAGCCGAACUGAGAGGUUGAUCGGCCACAUUGGGACUGAGACACGGCCCAAACUCCUACGGGAGGCAGCAGUAGGGAAUCUUCCACAAUGGGCGAAAGCCUGAUGGAGCAACGCCGCGUGGGUGAAGAAGGUCUUCGGAUCGUAAAACCCUGUUGUUAGAGAAGAAAGUGCGUGAGAGUAACUGUUCACGUUUCGACGGUAUCUAACCAGAAAGCCACGGCUAACUACGUGCCAGCAGCCGCGGUAAUACGUAGGUGGCAAGCGCUAUCCGGAUUUAUUGGGCGUAAAGGGAACGCAGGCGGUCUUUUAAGUCUGAUGUGAAAGCCUUCGGCUUAACCGGAGUAGUGCAUUCGCAACUGGGAGACUUGAGUGCAGAAGAGGAGACCGCAACUCCAUGUGUAGCGGUGAAAUGC